GACGAACGCUGGCGGCGUGCUUAACACAUGCAAGUCGAACGAAGCACUCUAUUUGAUUUCCUUCGGGACUGAUUAUUUUGUGACUGAGUGGCGGACGGGUGAGUAACGCGCGGGUAACCUGCCUUGUACAGGGGGAUAACAGUUGGAAACGGCUGCUAAUACCGCAUAAGCGCACGGCAUCGCAUGAUGCAGUGUGAAAAACUCCGGUGGUAUAAGAUGGACCCGCGUUGGAUUAGCUAGUUGGUGAGGUAACGGCCCACCAAGGCGACGAUCCAUAGCCGGCCUGAGAGGGUGACCAGCCACACUGGGACUGAGACACGGCCCAGACUCCUACGGGAGGCAGCAGUGGGGAAUAUUGCACAAUGGGCGAAAGCCUGAUGCAGCGACGCCGCGUGAGCGAAGAAGUAUUUCGGUAUGUAAAGCUCUAUCAGCAGGGAAGAUAAUGACGGUACCUGACGAAGAAGCACCGGCUAAAUACGUG
rnacentral:rRNA from 1 species